AGUGAACGCUGGCGGUAGGCCUAACACAUGCAAGUCGAACGGCAGCACAGUAAGAGCUUGCUCCUACUGGUGGCGACUGGCGGACGGGUGAGGAAUACAUCGGAAUCUUCUUUUUCUUGGGGGAUAACUUAGGGAAACUUACGCUAAUACCGCAUACGACCUACGGGUUAAAGCAGGGGAUCUUCGGACCUUGCGCGAUUGAAUGAGCCGAUGUCGGAUUAGCUAGUUGGCGGGGUAAAGGCCCACCAAGGCGACGAUCCGUAGCUGGUCUGAGAGGAUGAUCAGCCCCACUGGAACUGAGACACGGUCCAGACUCCUACGGGAGGCAGCAGUAGGGAAUAUUGGACAAUGGGCGAAAGCCUGAUCCAGCAACACCGCGUGGGUGAAGAAGGCCUUCGGGUUGUAAAGCCCUUUUGUUGGGGAAGAAAAGCAGCAGGUUAAUCCCCCCCUGUUCUGACGGUACCCAAACAGUAAGCACCGGCUAACUUCGUG
rnacentral:rRNA from 1 species